UCUGGGCGUAAGCGCGCUGUAGGCGGUCUUGUCACGAUCGCAUGUGAAAUCCCCGCGGCUUCACCUGGGAACUGCCUUGGUAACUGCACGGCUUGAGUGCGGGAGAGGGGGAUUGAAUUCCCCGUGUAACCGUGAAAUGCGUAGAUAUUCGGAGGAACACCGAUGGCGAAGGCAGCCCCCUGGGCCGUUACUGACGCUCAUGCACGAAAGCGUGGGGAGCAAACCGGAUUAGAUACCCUGGUAGUCCACGCCCUAAACGAUGAGAACUAGGUGUUGGGGUCUUUUGUCCUUAGGUAACGCGCCGUCACCAGCGCUUUUGCCUCCCCCGGCGGGUACACGACGCUCGAUUUC
rnacentral:rRNA from 1 species